AACGAACGCUGGCGGCAGGCCUAACACAUGCAAGUCGAACGCAUCCUUCGGGGUGAGUGGCAGACGGGUGAGUAACACGUGGGAACGUGCCUUUCGGUUCGGGAUAACCCAGGGAAACUUGGGCUAAUACCGGAUACGCCCUUUUGGGGGAAAGAUUGAUUUGCCGAGAGAUCGGCCCGCGUCUGAUUAGCUAGUUGGUGAGGUAAUGGCUCACCAAGGCGACGAUCAGUAGCUGGUCUGAGAGGAUGAUCAGCCACACUGGGACUGAGACACGGCCCAGACUCCUACGGGAGGCAGCAGUGGGGAAUAUUGGACAAUGGGCGCAAGCCUGAUCCAGCCAUGCCGCGUGAGUGAUGAAGGCCCUAGGGUUGUAAAGCUCUUUCGCACGCGACGAUAAUGACGGUAGCGUGAGAAGAAGCCCCGGCUAACUUCGUG
rnacentral:rRNA from 1 species